GACAGACUCAAGAAGAUGCAGACUUCACUGUACCACUGUGGGAAGGCAUAUGAAGAGGAUCACUUAAAGUGGGCGUGAUCUGACCUACGACCCAGCACAUGAUGCUUCGCGCUGCAGCACGUUCCAUGGCAUGUCCGCUUACACAUUACACCACAGAGACGAGGAGGACUCAGCAACUCAGCAGUACUCAGUGAGCAAAUGUUACUAACAGAGCUGUUAUGAUCACAAAAGACAACAAAGAGGAGGGGGGUAUAAUAAAAGAAACCCGGCAAACAAUGUGGCAUAUGAUACCCCGUGAAUCUCCCGUGAAUCUCAUCUCGAAACCCUCUCCCCUCCCUAUA